rnacentral:RNase_P_RNA from 1 species
AGAAAGACAAUCGCUUGGGGUUACUCAAGAGGAAAGUCCGGGCAACAUAGAGCAAGGUAAUCGCUAACGGCGACCGUCCGUAAGGACAGGGAAAGUACCACAGAAACUUAUACCGCCGGUUUACCGGUAAGGGUGAAAAGAGUGGGGUAAGAGCCCACAGUACGUUGUAGCGAUACGACGUAGAGGCAAACCCUACCUGUUGCAAGGAGUGCUAUUUAACCUUUGCUCGAGGAUGCACGCUUACCGCUCGAACACUAUAGCAAUGUAGUGUCUAGAUAGAUGAUUGUCGGCUAUAUAUUAUAUAUAGUUACAGAACCCGGCUUACUGACGG